rnacentral:misc_RNA from 1 species
GAGAAAAUUUAUUAUAUUUAGGAACAAGAGUUUCAGCAUAAAAUAAAUAAAAAAAAUAAUUAUUAUAUUGAUUUUAGUGAGCCACAGGCCGCCGUUCACAAUAUUUGACCAGAUGAACGUACAUAUAUUGCCCAAAAGAGUAUUCAAAAAUUGCAACAAGUUCAUGAAUCCUUAUCGUAGUGAAGAUAGGAAAGAUGGGGUGAAUUAAACCCAUCUUCACGCUCACUAGCUUCAGUACUAGCACUCGCUGCUGCAAGAAUUACAAAAAUUUAUGCACUCCCAAAAAUUGAGGGAAUCAUUAAUGAGACCAUAUUCAUUAGAGCAUUCUGAGUACCUUUUCUUCAAAACCUCAUCUGUGGCUUGGUCGAUGAGAAAUUGAAUCAUGUCAGAAGUUUCGUAAGAUUUUUCAUGUGCCGAAUCAAUUACAAAGCCCAUGAACAUCAACUUCGGGUGUUUGAGGAUUUGAUUUUAGGAAUUCUAAACACCAGGCAGGAAGGGUAGAAAAUCAUAUUGAUUACAUUUCUGGCAAUAUGAAAUGGGGUAAUGAUAUACAAAACUCAAUAAUUCUGCUGUGCGUAAGCUAUACAAGCAUUGCUAGGGCUUUUAAGGGGUGCCAUCCGCCAUGUAUUACACAAGGCAAACAAUCAAUCGUCAUAAAUCCUCGUAUAUUUUAUGCGUUGAAAGGGCGUAUGUCAAAAUUUAUACGUACAAUUAACUUGCAAAAAUGCUCUGCUCUCUCAUCUCUGCAUUUUGAGAUUUUAUAUCGACAAUACACCGAAACCCUACCUUUCGUUUUCUACUAAACAGCUGUACACCGGCAGACUUUGCUUUUUGCUUCUUUUUUUGUCUUUUCCUCCUGACCUUAAUGCGCACUCAAGCAACUGCAACCUCAGAUUUUUGAGAUUAGGAACACCACCGCGAAAGAAUCUCUUUAAUUCCUUUGUGCUUGUGCACCUUUUAUUUCCCCCUUUCUUCCCAAAGGCAUUCUGACGAUAGCAGGCUGGAGAGUAUAAGUUGAAACCAGCUACCAUACCAAACCAUACUAACUGCGCCGUCCUAAAACCAUUGCUUCUUUUAACUGACAAAAUCACUGUUUAUUCCUCAAUAGUCCUACUCAAUUCUUUCAUUUUUUGGUAGAGACUCCCUUGGAUACAGAAUUAUAGCUAAUAAUGAAGAAAAUGCAAGACCAACUACCCCACUAAAAGGUUGGAAUGAGUGAGUACCAGUUACCCAGAGAGGAUAAUUGCAUUUAUAGGUCAAAAAUCCACUUGUUCGCAAAAUAAAACUUGAAGCUGUGAUCCCUGCAUGUAACCCAAUUGGAAAGGAAAGGCUGCCUUCACUUCUUUGCCGCAACCCUGCCAGAGCCAAAGACAAAAGCCAAAGCCCUGGUAUUGCCAACAGAGACCUCUGGAGAAGAGAAAAUGCUAGCCCUGAAAUGAUAAUUCCUUGAUGAUAACCAAGAUCAGUGGCAAUUUCAUCAGGUAACCAUGAUCUAAAAAGCAGUUCUUCAACAAGCACAAGACCGGUUGCUGUAACAAUUCCUCGACCAGUCAGCAUGAUUACCUGCCCACAUACUUUGAGACAUACCAUGGCAUCUGAAGAAGACGUAGGAAGACUUGAAGGCCAUGAGAAACUCACACAGCCCAAUAAAGCAUUUAUGAACUGUAUUGAUAAAACAAGCGUGACUCCUCCAAUCAAUCCCAUAAAAAAAUUUUUGAUCUGCAAGAAGUGAGCUCAGAAAGUCAGCAGUAAACCAUUUUCCCUAAUGUACAUGGCACCACAAAAUAUUCAUCCAUUUUCAAGACUAAACUUCAUCAAGAAGGAUUAAGGAAAGAAAUGUAAAGUCAAAAGUUUUCCCUCUUUUGCAGCUAAGAGUUUGCAACUUACAUUGUAAGAAAUAAACAAUUACCAUGGAAAAUGAAUAACAAACUUGCUUCUUCAUUCACAAAAUAAAAGUAAUUGCUACUCUUAUCAUUGCUAGGCAAGUCCAGAACUUGCUGAGACAAGAAGCAAGUGACAAAAUUUUCAAGUUUAAGCUCGUCUAAAAACAUAAGAAUCUUAAAAAUAGGUUACAACCAUACCUUAUGUGGUUUCAUAAGGUCCAAACCAUAUUCCUCUAGUGGAUCUUCAUACCCACGAAUUCUUCUGCCCCAUAGCAUAACAAGUAUCACAACAGCCAUAUAAAGGCCAAUAAUGCUAACAAGGCUAGCAAAUCUGGAGGGAUUGUUCGUCGUCCAGCUCUUCACAAGUGUUGGAAGCAACGGCACAAUGAUUGGAGACCACAGAACAAGCAACAUCCCAACAAACCCAAUAAUCCUCUGGUACAAGGGGCGCUCAGCCAUAUGUAGAAAUGAAAUAAGCCUGUCGGUCAGACUAGUAGCACCGCGUAAGCCACCCCAAAGCAAAGCAACUUUACCAACCAGUCUCAACAAGCCACCCCUUUGUCCCAAGUCUGCUAGCAUUGCAACCAGCCUUUCUUGAUCCACUUCACCAUCUUCAUUUGUAGGAACUACUGGACCAGCAACUGACAUGGCUUUCUCAGCAAGGCUUGCAACUACAUUAUUCUGUAUUUUUUCAGAGACCGCUUCGUCAGCCUUUUCAACCGCCUUCACAUCAUCUACUUUCUCAUUCAAGGACUUCAAUGAACUUUCUUCAGUUUCUUUGCCGUAGAAUGGACUUUUUUCAUGAACAAGCCAGUUCAGUGUCCAAAUUAACAUUCAGAAGAAGAAUUAUGUACUUGUUAUAUCCAUACAGGAGACGAUUUCAGAUGCUCCUUGAUAUGAUUCAAUAAUCUCUCUCUUUUUUCUCCCCAAACAAUAGGCAGUAGGUCAUUUCUAACAGUUUUGGGGUUUGAACUGAGCUUAAGACCUGUUGCUGUACCAGUAAAGCAGAUGCUCCAAGGGCAGCUGUAACAGCCCCAACCAUGACUGUGUCAUUGUUUGUAUUUUUCAAUUCAGCUUCUUCCCCCACUCUCCCCCUUGUAAUGUUCAUACCAAUAGUUUGAUCCAUUCCAGUAGUAAGCUGCUGAUCAGCCUCCUUAAUGCUGGACUUAUCUAGAUUUUCUUCCCUGGAUAUCUUUGUUUGGGCAUUCAAUGUCAGGUCAUUAUCAUACCUGGUACCUACAUUGAAAUAUUUUCUCAAAGCAGCUAAGCUAGAGCCUAUAACAACACCAACAGGCAAAACUCUUCUCAGAUAGCUCGUGCUCAGAACAGCGGAAGAAAUGGCCCUUACUAUACACUCUCCUUGAAGAGUUCCCAUUUUUUCAGAAGCACUGACAAUACUGAAGUCUUUGCCUUGCAAGCACAAAGUGCCCUCCUGUCCUAUGGCCAGAGAAACAGCAUUUGCCACUUGCUCAAGAUCACUAGUGAGAGUGGAUUCCAUUUCUUUCAUGUCAUCUGUAAUGAACUUGCGAUCAAUUUCAACCCUUAAAGCAUCCACUAUAAGAAUUUUCACAAAUUGCAUCACCUCUUCUAAUCUAUAAUCACCAUUUUCAUCAAAAUUGUCCACUACGCUGUAUUCUCCAACAGUUUCCUGUUGUUUUUCAGCAUCUAGUAGUACAUACGAUGGUUCAAUAUAGUUGUCUGUAUCAUUCACCUUUACAGGUGAAUGUAUCUGAUCCUUAUGAGCUGUAACAUCAUCUAUAGAUUCUCCAAUAUUUCCUGGUUGCUCCAGGAGUUUCCACUGACCUUCUUCAGGGAAAUAGUCAAGCAAUAGAGCAGUAGUCGUAUCUAAAUCAAGUGGUUUGCCAUUUGGCAUCUUUGAGAGAAGAUACCUGCGGAAGUAUUCAUUCUGUAGAUAGUCCCCAUAUGGAUUUGCUGUUAUGUAUAAUGGAAUGCUAUUUACAUGUUUAUCAGCAUAAUCAGCCAAAAAUUUGCCACCAACUAAUUGAUUCUUCUUUAUUCCUUUCUUAUAAGUAUAGUUACUGGAAGCACUUUCCUGGGAACCAUCAGCACCAUUCUCACCAUAUAAAACAGAAUUCCCAGUGAGUUUCUCCUCUACUCUUCCAGUAUUCACAACAUUCUGUGGGUUGACACCAUUCGCUUUGUGCUUAUAUACAGCAGAAUCCUGUGAAAUACCAGGUUGCAUGGUCAAGUCAUUUUUACCAUUCAUUUUUAACAAGUUAUCACCAGUGGCAUUCUCUUUCUUGGACCUAGAGUCAACUGUCUCACCUUCAACCUCAUCUCUAUCCUGGAUUUUGUUCUCAUCGUCUUUUUCCUCUUCCAACUGAGAAAUCAUGUCUUCUAUGACACCAAAAACACUGUUAACGGCCACUUGGGUGGAAUCAUCCAUCCCUGUUAAGGCAUCUAAUGCCUGAGCAACAUUGAAUGUAGGGGAAUUAGAAUCAGACGCAAUUGGUUUAUUUUGAUCAGAAACAGGCUGCACUGCUUUGUUGUCCCUCUUCUGAGUAUCACUGCUGUCAUUUCCCAUUGGCUGGGAGUCAGAAGAAAAUACUGCAGGUGAAGAAGCUUCUUCAACCAUAUUGCCUGAUGCCAUCUUACUUUGAUCAGUUGAAGAACUUGGCAUUUUCUCUUCAUUUUUCUGGGUAUUAGUCUCCCUUAUCAUUUCUAGCUGAGGCAUUCCACCAUCCUCAUCCACCUUGUAUUCAUCAACAACUGCUUCCUCAGUGCCAGCUGCAUUUUCAGUGCGGCUAGUAACACUUUGCUUAGUGCUGGUCUCCAAUCCCUUUUCAACACUGUUAGAAUAUGAAGCAGCUUUUUCUUUGACAAGCUCAUUACUUUCAUGAUUAUUUCCUGGCUCAUUUGUGCCCUUAACAGAACCAUAAGGAUCACCUUGCUGAAUGUUCACUGUUUGAGGCUGCCCCAAAUCACUAGAGUUAUGCAAAUUUUCUGAAGAGUGAUGUUCUGGUUCCAGCCCAGCAGUAGACUUGUCCGACCCAGGUUGAUUGUUACCAGAGACAUCUGCUAAAUCAUCAGGAAUUUUCAUCUCAUCUAAAGACUGAGGAUCAUUAAGUGUAGCUUCAUCAUUUGAUGCUCCUCUGCUCUUUUCCUGGAACUUUGAUUUAAUCGCUGAUGACACAGCAGGAACUUUACCAAGAAGUCCAUCAAGUUUUAAGUUUGUGUUUUGAGCAUGCAAAAUUCCUGUCACAGCGCCUGUAAGCUUUCCACGAACAUCUUCUGGCACGGCAUCUUGUAAAGCUUUCAUAAGUGUCUCUCCUUGACCCACAGCACUCAACACCUUAUUCUUUUCUUCUUCUUCCAGAAUGCCAGGCAUAGUAACAUCAAGCAUAUUCAUUACCACCUUUGCUGUUUGUAGCACUUGACCACUUUCAGUAUCUACAGCAUCAGCUACCUCCUCUUUGGCCAAUUCUACAUCAACAGAGCUAGUCUGCUGAAAUGCACCAUUUUCUACUUCUUGCAAUCCCUCUUUAAAUUCCAAAUUUCUAUAUGAGUCUCUUCUGGAUCUUGAUUGGGCAGAAGUAUAACCAUCUUCAAUCCUUUCUUUCAUGGGAUCUAUGGUAUACCCAUUAGCGUCACUUGCAGUAAGAUCUAAGAAUUUCUCAAGGUUGAUACCUUUCUUGGAUGUCCUGCCUCCCACAAGAGUUAAACUUUUUGUAGGGUUGAAGGUAACAUCCACAUCUUUUAGAAGAGGAUGACGACCCUUCAAAAGCCCAAGCUCUACUGCUGAUAGCCACUCAAUAGUUAGAUUAUGGCACCACAAUAGAGCUGCUCUACCAUUCUCAAUAAUACCAGAUGGCAUACAAGAACAUAAAAGGAGACUUGUAAAUGGAUUUUCUGCAAUUAAACUGCGUGGAGUGGAAAAUAAUGGUACUGUCCCAUCAUCGUUCUGAAUAAAGAGAACAGGAAUAUUCACAUUUCCAACCACAUCUCGUGUGCUGGAUUUUGAAUAGAACUCUUCUAUUUUCUCAAAACCAUAAGAUACCAUGGAUAUUGCUUUUUCAAAAUCACGAACAGAUUUUGCCAUUAAAGCCUUUUCCACAUGAAACCCUUUUGCUCUCCCUUGAAACAGUUCCUUGUUAGAUCGCAGGAUAUCUAUCAGGCCACCAGUGAGUUUCUGAUCCAAAGCAAUGUGAUAAGGAGAGCAUCUUGUGGCCUCCUCUAAGUCAAAAGGAUUAUUAAUGCAUGUGGCAGCCGUAAGAGGUGUCCUCUCCCCAACUUCUGCCAGAUAUUUAGUCAACAUGUUUGCACCGUAUCCCCAGCCAACACCCAUCAGUGAUGUCCAUGGCCUUGCUUUAUUGAUGAACUGUAUAGCUGUGGAGAUAUCAUCGCUGUCAGCAGCUGUAAAUAACCGUGCAGUGGUGAGCGGAGAACCUGCACAUCCUCUAGGAUUCAUGACAACCGGAAAAAACCCGCGGCUAAGCGCUUCACACACAAACGACCUGAUAUUCUCACCCAGGCUCCCUUCAGCCGUCCCCGGCACAAGCAACAGAGUAGUAUCCAAUCCAUGCUCCUCCCUCAAGUCCAAAUUGGCCGGCCAAUCAAGCGAAAUAACACCACCAUCCUGGGUGCUAACGCACACUCUCUGGUACUCCAAUUUCUCCUCCAAUCCACCAACGCCAACUUCUCUGACCUGAAUCCUCCCACUGUUGAGCUUCACAAAAUGCCUAUCCUGUUCUACCAACCUCUCAUUCACAUCCUCUAACAACUCGCUCCCUUCAAAAGAUAUAGAAGGGCAACGCAGCAACACAAAACGAUUAAACGGAGUGGGACUGGAGAAAAGAAUCCACUCACCGAUGUCGGAAGUAAUGGAGAAUCUACUGGAGUUGGAUUUCGAUAGAUAUAGCGUUAAGCCGGAGGCGAGACCUAGAACGGGAGCGAGAAGAUCGAGAGAAAUGGAGGAGGGGGAUUGGGAGAGGAAGUUCUGAAAGUGCUCAAAUAAGUUGUUGUAAAGCGUGAAGUUUCUGGUGGGCGCACGUUUGAUACGACGGCGUCUGUAAAGGCGGAAUUGACGGAUGGGGGGGGUGAAAAGACGAGAGCUGUGAGCGUGAGGUGGUGUAAGGUAGAGAUUGGAGACGUUCAUUUGAGGAAUUGAUGAGAGUAGAGAGUAGGUUCUGUAUUGGUUUCUAGGGUUAUUGGGGAGAUAAGAAAGAGACGGGAAAGUGCCGGAACAGCGAAAUUGUUGAAACAGAAAGGAAGGGUGGCGGUGGUGGUCCGUUGAUGGGAACUUGUGCAGUUUACCCGCGAAGAAGAAUAAACGUACGGUUGGUUUGGGUAUGGCCAGGGAAAGAAGAAA